GGAAGUGCUUCCUGGACUGGUGCUGGGCUUGGUCUUCAAAACCAAUGGUGCGUCGCGUGAGCGUCCGUACGGUGGGUUCGAUUCCCAUGCAUUUCCGCCA
rnacentral:tRNA from 1 species